rnacentral:rRNA from 1 species
AUUGAACGCUGGCGGCAUGCCUUACACAUGCAAGUCGAACGGCAGCACGGGGCAACCUGGUGGCGAGUGGCGAACGGGUGAGUAAUGCAUCGGAACGUACCUUUCAGUGGGGGAUAACGUAGCGAAAGUUACGCUAAUACCGCAUAUUCUGUGAGCAGGAAAGCAGGGGAUCGCAAGACCUUGCGCUGAUUGAGCGGCCGAUGUCAGAUUAGCUAGUUGGUGAGGUAAAGGCUCACCAAGGCGACGAUCUGUAGCGGGUUUGAGAGGAUGAUCCGCCACACUGGAACGGAGACACGGUCCAGACUCGUACGGGAGGCAGCAGUGGGGAAUUUUGGACAAUGGGGGCAACCCUGAUCCAGCCAUGCCGCGUGAGUGAAGAAGGCCUUCGGGUUGUAAAGGUCUUUCGGCCGGGAAGAAAUCGCACGGGCUAAUACCCUGUGUGGAUGACGGUACCGGAAUAAGAAGCACCGGCUAACUACGUGCCAGCCGCCGCGGUAAGAC